UACGUAGGCAGCAAGCGUUGUCCGGAAUUAUUGGGCGUAAAGAGCUUGUAGGCGGUUUGUCGCGUCUGCCGUGAAAUUUCGAGGCUCAACCUCGAACUUGCGGUGGGUACGGGCAGACUAGAGUGUGGUAGGGGAGACUGGAAUUCCUGGUGUAGCGGUGAAAUGCGCAGAUAUCAGGAGGAACACCGAUGGCGAAGGCAGGUCUCUGGGCCACUACUGACGCUGAGAAGCGAAAGCUAGGGGAGCAAACAGG
rnacentral:rRNA from 1 species